CAAUAGCGUAUAUUAAAGUUGUUGCAGUUAAAAAGCUCGUAGUUGGAUUUCUGCUGAGGACGAUCGGUCCGCCCACUGGGUGAGUAUCUGGCUCGGCCUUGGCAUCUUCUUGGAGAACGUUGCUGCACUUGACUGUGUGGCGCGGUAUCCAGGACUUUUACUUUGAGGAAAUUAGAGUGUUUCAAGCAGGCGCACGCCUUGAAUACAUUAGCAUGGAAUAAUGAGAUAGGACCUUGGUUCUAUUUUGUUGGUUUCUAGAGCUGAGGUAAUGAUUAAUAGGGAUAGUUGGGGGCAUUCGUAUUUAACUGUCAGAGGUGAAACUCUUGGAUUUGUUAAAGACGGACUACUGCGAAAGCAUUUGCCAAGGAUGUUUUCAUUGA
rnacentral:rRNA from 1 species